rnacentral:rRNA from 1 species
AAUAGAUACCCGGGUAGUCCACGCCGUAAACGAUGGAUACUAGCUGUUGGGGGUAUCGACCCCUCCAGUAGCGAAGCUAACGCGUUAAGUAUCCCGCCUGUGGAGUACGGUCGCAAGACUAAAACAUAAAGGAAUUGACGGGGACCCGCACAAGCGGUGGAUUGUGUUCUUUAAUUCGAUGAUAAACGAAGAACCUUACCAGGGCUUGACAUCCCUUGAAUUAGUCCGAAAGGAUUGAGUGCUUUAUUGAACAAGGUGACAGGUGUUGCAUGGCCGUCGUCAGCUCGUGUCGUGAGAUGUUUGGUUAAGUCCAUCAACGAGCGCAACCCUUGUACGUAGUUGUAUUUUCUACGUAGACUGCCCCGGCAACGGGGAGGAAGGAGGGGAUGAUGUCGGGUCAGUAUUACCCUUACGUCCUGGGCUAGAAACGCAAUACAAUGGCAAGUACAAUGCGCAGCGAAGCCGCGAGGUGAAGCAAAUCGCAUCAAAACUUGUCCCAGUUCGGAUAAGAGGCUGAAACUCGCCUCUUUGAAUCGGAAUCGCUAGUAAUCGA